rnacentral:tRNA from 4 species
GGCGGAUGUAGCCCAGUGGAUCAAGGCAGU